rnacentral:rRNA from 1 species
CUACGGGCGGCAGCAGGUGCGAAACCUCUACAAUGCACGAAAGUGUGAUAGGGGAACCCUGAGUGCUUAUGCAUUGCAUAGGCUUUUGUUAAAGGUAAAUACUUUGGCGAAUAAACGGUGGGUAAGACUGGUGCCAGCCGCCGCGGUAACACCAGCGCCGUAAGUGGGAGCCGCGUUUAUUGGGCCUAAAGCGUCCGUAGCUGGAUAAAUAACUCUUUUGUGAAAUUGUCAAGCUCAACUUGACAACGUGCAGAAGAAACUGUUUGUCUUGGAACCGGAAGGAGUCAGCAGUAUGAGAUGGGGAGCGGUAAAAUGCUAUAAUCCUUCUUAGACUACCUGUGGCAAAGGCGUCUGACUAGUACGGGUUCGACAGUGAGGGACGAAAGCCAGGGGAGCGAACCGGAUUAGAUACCCCCGUAGUC